rnacentral:rRNA from 1 species
CCUACUAUGCCAGGCCAUAACACAACAAUCAAACAACCAAUUGUUCGCCAAAUAACUACGAGUACAAACUUAAAAUUUAAAAGACUUGACGGUACUUCACAACAACCUAGAGGAGCCUGUCUAAUAACCGAUACUCCACGAUUAACCCAACCCACUCUAGCCAAUCAGUCUAUAUACCGCCGUCGCCAGCUUACCUUGUGAAAGAAAUAAAGUAAACAAAAUAAACCACCCUCUAAUACGACAGGUCGAGGUGUAACUAAUGAGUAGGACAAAGAUGGGCUACAUUUUCUAAAACAGAAAACACGGAUAAACUAUGAAACCAGAAACUGAAGAAGGAUUUAGCAGUACGUUAAGAACAAAAUACCUAACCGAAACCUGCAAUGAAGUGCGCACACACCGCCCGUCAUCCCUGUAACAACAACUAAAAAAUCAAUAAACACACAACCAAUUUAAACCAGGGCAAGUC